UUUGUACUUCCUCCGUCCCAAAAUUCUUGUCUUAAAUUUGUCUAAAUACGGAUGUAUCUAGUUACAUUUCAGUGUUAGAUACAUCCGUAUCUAAACAAAUGUAAGACAAGAAUUUUGGGACGGAGGGAAUACUAC
rnacentral:pre_miRNA from 1 species